rnacentral:lncRNA from 1 species
AUGUCAUCGGUCGGACCGAGAAUACGCGGCCGUAAUCGCUCAGCAGCCUUCCCCUCUUCCUCUCUCCACCCCCCUAAGUCGCAUCUGGUUGCAGUAGACAGGAGGGGUCGAAGGUCACGGGCAGGGGAGAGGGGGAGGUCACAAGGUCAACAGGUCAGGAGUCAAAGUUCUUCAGGGAGACGAAGUAGGUCGGAGAAAAGACAAAAAGGAGGAGGAGGAGGAGGAGGAGAAGAGAGGAGGAGGAGGAGUAGAAGGAGGAGGAGAACAAGCAGCCCUGACUCUGCCGAAGUGAACCAGGGGGAAGAAGAGGAGGAGGCGGGUCGGCCAAGCAGUCACCAGCAAGGUCAAAGGUCAAGAUCACUGUCAGCUGGGGCGGAGCGUAGGAGGGGUAGGAGCUUACCCAGAAACACCCGGGAGAACCACAGCGAUGAUGAGAUCACCGUGAGGUCACAGCGAGAGCGAGGGAGGGAGGGAGGAAGAGAGAGGGAGAAGGAGAGGACGAGUGGAAGCAGAGAAAGGGUGAGAUGGCUGGAGAGUCAGAGCGAAGAGGAAGAGGAGGAUCACAGAGAGGAAGGUGAGGAGAAGGAAGAUGAGGAAGAUGGCGACGACGUUUUUAUGCCGAUCCCCAACCACAGACUGCCCAGGCCUCGGCAGCAGCAGGUAGAGGAGUGGAACAGCGAGGAGGAGGAAGAUGUGAGGGAGGAAGAGUGGGUGAGGGAGCAGGGCAGCAGGAGAGAGGGAGCGGAGGACGAGGAUGAACCUGAGUGGGACAGAGAGGGAGAGGGAGGACAGGAGAACCUGGAGCCACAGGAGGAGAGGGUGCGAGCGUGGGCCUCCGAGGUGCAGAGGGAGAGGAUGCGUAACCUCCAGAUGGAGGGAGACGGAGAGAGGGAACAGAGUCCUGCCGUGGAGGAGAGAGAGGAAGAAGAGAGGGACGAGAGCAGGCCCCAGAGCAGGACGCUGCCUCCUCUCUCAGGUCUCCCCGUCCUCCCGGUGGGGGCCAAACCGCAGCUCUACGUGCCCGUGCUCCCCCCCCUCUCUGUCGAGGGCCUCACCCCACCCCCGCCCCACCCCACAGCACACCCCUUCUCCUUCCUGCGCUCGCCGGGGUCCGCGUACGCCAAGUCGGAGUCCGGGUCCAGCGUGUCGGCCACCAGCACGUCUGCGGCGAGUGUGUCGGGACUCUCCCUGGCCCUGUCCAACAACCACGGCCACUGGAGAAGCAAAGCCCCCCUGCCAGGACCCUGGCUCAGGCCCAGCCAGCACACACUCAGCCGGGUCACCCAGGGGAACCGCCUGGCCCAAACACAAGGAGGAAGAGGAGGAGGAGGAGGAAGAGGAGGAAUGCCCAGGUUCAUCCACUGAGUAAAGGUUUUCGAGGCAUGAAAGCUUGUUUAGUCAGCACCGUUGACUUGGCAUGACUUCUGUGGGCUUUAUUAUUUGAAAAAUGUAGGAUUUUUUUUUUUUAUUUGGACCUGUGCACCAUCCACAUUUUUGCUCCAUUUUUUCUAACUCUCUCCUUCAUUUUAUUUCAUUUCUUUGGCUUCCUUUUACGACUUUCCAUGUGCCUAUCUCUAUCGGUCUGUAAACUACUUAAUCUUGUGUUGUAUAGCGAGUGAUUUUCUGAACGUUUCUCCCGCUCAUUCUGCUGGCGAGGAACCAGCUCCGACGUCAUGUCGUGUCGCGUCACGUGUAGUUCUGGUACUUCUGGUUCUGGUCUCCGUUGUGUGUGUGCGACCUGUGGUUCUUGUGUGGUGUUUAAAGCCCCCCCCCCCUUUAGUGGGGUCCUGAGCAAUUCUCCAGGUGUAUAAUCAGUGAUACCUCGCCUCGCCAUAGAGAGCAAUAAAAGGAUCCUCCUGCCUGCCUGCCUGGGGCCG